UACGUAGGGUGCGAGCGUUAAUCGGAAUUACUGGGCGUAAAGUGUGCGCAGGCGGCCGCGCAAGUCGAGUGUGAAAGCCCCGGGCUUAACUUGGGAAUUGCGCUCGAACUACGUGGCUGGAGUGUGGCAGAGGAAGGUGGAAUUCCAGGUGUAGCGGUGAAAUGCGUAGAGAUCUGGAGGAACACCGAUGGCGAAGGCAGCCUUCUGGGCCAACACUGACGCUCAUGCACGAAAGCGUGGGGAGCAAACAGG
rnacentral:rRNA from 1 species